UCUAUGGUGAAAUUCCGCCAAAUCAGACUUCCAAAAUAGUAAUUAUUAUUCGUCUGACUAUCCAUAAGUCAUUCUCUUGUUUUGGUAAUAUAUAAUGUGAUUCAAAAUUAGUUAGGCUUAGAACUUUUCAACUAAAGUUAAACAUCUAUUGAUCUUUCCUGGAGUGGAUUAGCUCUUGUUAUGUCGAAUUAUAAUCCUAAUCCAUAGAUUCCAAAGUCCAUCCAGUUCAGAAGAGGAGAGACCGUUAGACCUAUUUCGUUUCAAAACAUUAUUCAAAUAAUUGAAAAAUAUUAUUUUGAAACAUGGAAAAUUGUUCUCGUUCGAGAGCCCAGGCAACAUCACCAUUAAUGUUUGAAUCCGAUGAAGAAGACUCCUCAGAUGAUGAUCCUGCUAAUACCAGUAACAAGGAAAAUGCAGAUGAAAAUGUUGACAGAACUUCUGAGCUAACCAAAGAAGAAAAAAUUUUAAAAGGAUUCCAAACUGUAUUGAUGGGUAUUCCUCCACCUCCUGCUUUCACCGUUCCUCAGUUUGACUCUCGGGAGAUCCUGAAGCUGUGGAGAGACCAUCAGAAGUUUAGGCUGGUCUUGUCACCUGGCAAAGGUAAACAGAAUUUGGCAAGGCAGUUGGAGGAAGAAGUGAAGGUCACCCCAUGGCCUGAAGUGCUAAAUGUGGACCAUUGGGAUAUUUACUAUAACAAGAGUGCUGUGUGUGAGGAGGUGGAGAGACUCAGUUUACGAUACAAGGAGCGCUAUGUGGGUUCAGAGACGUCGUCAUGCAUCAAUGCACUGUUUGCCAAGAGUCCUACACGCACAGCCAGUGCGCGCAAGCGCGCCCGCACUCGUGCAUGGGGUCAUAGUCCUGGCCGCCGUCUCAGCCACUUAGCGCGGCGACGCAACGCAUUCUCCUCCGCCAAUCUAUGCAGUGUUGCUGGCAACAAUAAUCCUGAUAAGAAGAUGAUUAUGGUUGAAAUCAAAAAAAUAGGCAAUCGUAGUAAGAAAAAAGGUUCUGCAAAAAAAUCAAAACCCACGCCACAAAAAAAGAGCCAAACACAGACCAACACACACAAAAGGGCGUUGUUCCAGAGCCCUGAUCAGCCGCCAGCCAAAGAUGUAACGCAAACCCCUAACACUCGAUGUGUCCUGAGAUCAAAACGUAACCUGUUUGCAGACUCCAGUAGUGAAAAAAUUAAUGAAAACGGGAAACGGGAACGCCCAGUUCCGAAGAGGGUGAGCCCACGGAAACGAGUCAACAGGAGUUUGUCAUUCCAAGACCACUCACAAGAGACCGCUCCACAUCUGAAUAUGUCACUGCAACAAACCAAAUUUCCAACAACUCAAUCUUCUCAGAGCGUUCUCUCUGGGACUCAUAAACAGAAAAUGCUAUGGGCUGUGACGAACGCUCUACGGGAAGAAAACAUGGGGAUGAACCAUGAGCUAUUUCGGCCGUGCAUGUCUGUUCUCUUCAAAGCAUGCCAGAAGCUGUGGCUGAUGAAUACGGCGAUACGAGAGCAAGAGGGCAGCACUAGUGAAAACAUGUUGGCACUGGCUAAGCAGUUUAGUGUUUACACUAUCAAACAGAUCAACAGUGAUCCAACUUCAGAACAUAUGGCUCUAGUGUGCACAAAUAUCAUAAGACAAGCGGAAAAUAAUUUAUGUAAAACUAAACCUAAGCAAGAUGGUGUUAGACAAUUACUUUCCAGAAAUCCUCUGUCCGAGCUUAGUUGUUCAAAAGAAAAUGCAAGUAGUCCCACUAACUGUGAAGAAAUUCAUAAAUCUUCUGUUUGCAAAGAACUAAAAAGUGAAGCAGAAAACUCUAAAUGCAGCAGGAAUGGAAUAAUAGGUUCUCCUCUUUUCAAAAUGAAGAAAAAUAACAACAAAAGUCCUUUGAAAAUCGUUCAGAAAUAUGGGAAAUCAUCUCAAAUAACACUCAGAACACUGAGAAGUACACCUAAUAAAAUUGAUUGUAACAGUUCUAUUAUAGAAUCUAGGACUCCCAAGAAAACUCCAUCAAAACUCAUCUCUAAAUAUACAGAUUUGCCAAGCACAUCAACUUGUGUUACUAGAAGUAUGUUGGCUGAAAUGGGGGUUAACAGAACAGUUGUCAAUUCAGUAUCAGAGUCAUCUCAAGAAAAAACGCCUUCAAAAUCUAAUAAGAAGGUUACAAAUACACCUAAAAAAUCUUCUCGGUGCUCCAGAAUUAUAUUUUCUGAUUUGGAUUCCAACACUGUAACUGACAGUUCAAAGAUAAAUGCAUGUACAAGUAAUAAGAAAACACCAUCAAAAUGUAGCAUACAGUCUACAGAUUCUCCAAAAAAGACUACUCGGUGUACUAGAAAUAUAUUUUCUGACUUGGAUGCAAACACCGUAACCAAUAGUUCAGAGAUAAAUGCAUGUAGAAGUAGUAAGAAAACACCAUCAAAAUCCAGCAUGCAGUGUAUAGUUACUCCCGAAAAGGCCUCUCAGUGUGCCAGAAGUAUAGGUUCUGAUUUGGACGCCAACACAGUAACUGAUAGUUCAGAAAUGAACCCAUGUAGUAAGAAAACGCCAUCAAAAUCCAAUUCAACAUUUGCAGAUACUCCUAAAAAGUCCUCUCGGUGUACCAGAAGUAUAUUUUCUGCUUUGGAUGCCAAAGCAGUAACAGAUAGUUUAGAGACGAAUUCAUGUAAUAAGAAAACGCCAUCAAAAUCCAAUAUAAAUUUUAUAGGCACUCCUAAAAAAUCUGUUCGCUGUACCAGAAGCAUAUCUACCGACAUGGAUACCAAUAGUGCAGAAACCUCCUCAUGUGUAAAUAAAACAUUAUCAAACUGUCCAAAUUCAGUAAGUAUAUCAAACUAUGUUACCCGAAGCGUGUCUAUGAUUUCAGAGUUGGAGUCAUCUCAAAAGGAAACACCAUUAAAAUCUAUACUAAAGUCCAUAAAUUCUCCUUGUAGGACUAAUAUUUGUUCCAGAAGAACAUCUGAUUCAGAAACAAAUCCUACUCCAGAUGGAUCUGAAACAAACACAUACCGUGAGAGGACUCCUUCAAAAUCCAGAAUUAAAUUUAUGUGCACACCUGAAAUAUCAAGCUGUAUCACUAGGACCAUGUCUUUUGAUUUAGAAGUUAAAAAUGAAGGGGUAGAGCUAGAAAAAAGUUCAACUAAUACACUAGCCCCUUCAAAACUUAUUGCCCAAAGUAAAGAAUCGCCAAUUGUAUCAGGUCGUAUGAUCAGAAGUAGUUUAAAUGAAGCUACAACAUCAGCACAAACGCCUGAGAAAACAAAUGUUCAACUUGAACAAAUUAGUAGAAAAAUAUCUUUUGAUAUGGAUGCUAAAAUGACAGCUGAUGAAUCAGAGAUACGAGUCUCUAAAGAAACUUCUAACAAGCUUGACAUUAAACAACUAGGCUCAUCAAAGAGAAUCAUACCAACUACAAGACGAAUGUCUUGUAAUACAGAGAUUGAUAACAGUGUAAGAAUAAACCUGCUACAUAGAAGAACUCCUCCCAAAAUGAAUAACUUACGUAAAGGAUUAACCAGCCUUUUGAAUCGUAGGACGAGAAGCUUGUCCUGUGACAUUCCAGGAAACAUUAAUAAUGUAACUAAGCCUGUAUUUUUGAAACCAACUCCUCCGAAAGGUAGUUUAAAGAGCAAGAAUUCACCAAGGGACCAGUACGAUAGAAAAUAUUAUGGUACAAAAUCUGAUAGUACAGCUUUCUCUGACAUCUGUGUUCAAGAUAGUAUCAAUGUAAGUAACGAGUUAUUACCAGCAUCUCCAGAGUUUACUUCUCCAAUAACUCGGUCCAGAAGUGGUUCUAUAAAAAUGAAAACUAAAACUGAAGAUAAUGCAUCUAUAGAUAGUACAUUAGUUAGCAUAUCAAAUUCUGACAGCGCUAGUAAGUCUCCAGAAUCGAGUUCUCAGAUAAAUAUUUGUUUAAAUCAUAAUACAGAUGAAUCUGUCCACUCAGAAGGAACUGACAAAUGUUCACAAAAUGGUGCUAUAGAUACUUUAAACACUUCUCCAUUCAUCAAAUGUGAGUCGGAAAAAUCAUUAAGUCAAAGGACGAAUAGCUCAUAUGACGAAACAACAUUGAGUAGUUGUGAAAACAACAAAGAAAGCUUGGACUUUACAUUAGUGAAUAACUGUAACAACGAGACUGUGAAAAAUAGUUCUAGUCAAAAACCUCUAUUUUCAGUUGAAAAUACACCACAAUCAGUUGAGAUGGCAUCAAAGAACCGUAUGUUGCACUUGUAUAAACUCUCAAAUUGUGGUGGUGAGAAUGUAGAUAAUAUAAAUAAUGUGGUACUACCCGACAACGAACCCCCUACACUGGUUCCGCACUGGGAACAUGUGAGUGAGUCGGAAGAAACAUCCAGUUCACUUCAAUCUCCUCCUUCACUCGUGCCCCACUGGGAACAGCCUAGCAGUGGCACAAGCACAUCCCUCCCCGAGUCCAUCAUGAGCCAUUGGCAACAACUGACCAACAGUGUUACCGUCAAUACUUCUGACAAGAUCAUGUUUGAUUUAGAGGACACUUCUUUUGAAAUCACCUUCCCUUCCACAAACGAAGAUUCCAGAGCAUCUUCCACAUGUGUUCCGUUUGACUUUCCUCAUCUAGUUGAUGAUUCUAAGAGUGGCUUCAAUGUGGUUUUUAGGAAAAACAGUUUUGAUUCUUAGGAGUGAAUAAUGAGGAAAGAGGGUGGCUUGAACUGUAUAUAAAGUGAGCCACGAGCUCAGAGAAGCCCAGUCAAAAUGGUUUCAGCAACCGGGUUCUACAUACUGCUCAUCUUCGCUUAUGUUUCAGCUGUGGAGUCCCUUGAUACUUUUGAGAGUGCUGCCAAUCGUGAUGCCUUGAAACAGAAACCUGAACUCCAUCCCUUUAUACUACCAAGGAAUUUACGGUCAUGGGCCUUCAUCAAACCUCGGCUUGGUAAACGAACAAUGGAAGACAGUGAGGGACUCUACCGUACUGACUCACCAUGGGAUUCCCUGGAGAAUCUUGAGAUCCAAGAUUAUCCAGAUGCAGCAUUGAUGAGAGAAGGAAGAGGAGAUAUAAAUGAUGCUUGGUACCCUUUCUUCACCCCAAGGCCUGGCCGAAGGUCCCCAUCUAACACCCAAUAGAAGAUUUCCGAUUAGAAAUGUUAAUAUAUGUAUAAUGUACUAAUUUAUUAAUAAAUACAGUUAAGUACUUUUA
rnacentral:misc_RNA from 1 species